UCGCUGUUGGUUCCGUAACAGGACCGGAGCUCUGCGAGCGAAUGACGACGCUGGGUGUUGCCACGAAUCUGGUGACUUAUCUCACCAACGAUCUGCACCUCUCCAACACCAAAGCUCCAAACAUCGUCACGAACUUCCUGGGUACUUCUUUCAUGUUGUGCCUUCUGGGAGGAUUCAUAGCCGAUACUUACAUCGGCCGGUUCUGGACCGUCGCUAUCGCUGCAACAAUCCAGUUCCUGGUAAUCUGAAGAACUACAGAGUUAGAAGCUGAAAAACAAUGAUUCGUGGUUUUUGCAGGGAAUGCUUGUUCUCACCAUUCUCACCUCACUCCCAUCACUGAGGCCUCCUCACUGCGUCCACGACUGCCCUCCCGCGAAGGCCAAGCAGCUCAGCCUGCUCUAUCUCGCGCUCUACCUCUCCGCACUGGGAACCGGCGGCAUCAAGUCCAACGUCUCUGCAUUCGGAGCCGAUCAGUUCGAUAAGAACGAGCCGAAGGAGCAGAAGCUCAUGUCUUACUUUUUCAACUGGUUCUUCGUUUCCAUCUCGGUGGGAGCUCUCUUCUCCCUCACCGUGCUCGUCUACAUCCAGGACAACGUCGGCAG
rnacentral:lncRNA from 1 species